rnacentral:rRNA from 1 species
GGCUGAAUUGCCUUCAUGAAGCUGGAAUUGCUAGUAAUGGCAGGUCAGCAUACUGCCGUGAAUACGUUCCCGGGCCUUGUACACACCGCCCGUCACACCAUGAGAGUUGGGAAUACCCGAAGCCUGUGAGCUAACCGUAAGGAGGCAGCAGUCGAAGGUAGAAUCAAUGAUUGGGGUGAAGUCGUAACAAGGUAGC